UGAGGAAGAUGACACUGAAAUCAAAACAAAGGUUGUUAGAAAUACAUUUUCUAUCUCUCCAUUUAUCUAUUCAUAACCUUACAUUACACUCUUCCUUACCUGCUGUAGUUUCACUCAUGCGUCGUCUUUUCGUGUUAACACGAUUACGUUCAAGAUCUGGUGAAGAACUACGGGGUCUCCGUACAGAAUUAAUAUGAUCCACUGCUGUGUAAACUCUAGGUUCGUCCGAGUGAGAUCGCUGGGGAAGGGAUUCUUCAUCCUGGUUUUCCGACUUCACAUGUUCAAUUUCAUCACUACUUGUCGUUGACGUUGAGUUUUGUCGCCACAUUGAGGGGAAACGAUCGGCCAUCGACUUGUCCGUAAGAUAUGAAGCUCUCAAGUUAUACACGAAUGCACAGUCUUUAUCGAAUCAAAUUGGAAAUCGAAGUGGAGCGCUGGUAUUUGACUCAAAAUGCGACAAUAAAACACUUCAGCAUGACUAUAACUUAUGAUUAAUUAAUCACUCUUCAUGGCAAAACAUGUACUUCAUACGGUAUCUUAAUCAUCGAAAUAAGCAAGCCUUAUACAGCCAAGCACACAUACGUGGGCAGGUGGCGCCUACGCUUUGUUGACAACUCUUAUUGUAGUCAUGCAAGUAUAAACAGCAGGCUUUGUUAUUCAUAUCAAUGGACAUUUCUCGAAAUUACGGAGAUCUUACUAUCAAACUUAAUUUGUCUUGUUUGGCUGUGAACAUUGCAGAAAAUGGCAAAAGUUUAGGUAAAAAUAACAGAGACAAUGUAAGCGACAAAGCAUACGUGACACUAACAAAUACAGGUAUAGUGGUACCUGUGUCGUUGACAAGACAAUGUUUUUACUAUUUCAUAACUAAGCAGACUUUCGUGAAACCACAUAAUUUUAAAAACAAUAUCAUUUUUAUGAACAAAACAAAGUUAAAUCAGACGUUUGUUACAAGGCUUGCGUAGGAGAACUGAGUAUUCUUACUCACCACAAAUGAAGAAUCGGAGACAGAAUUUAUAUACUGAAUGCUACUCUAAGAUCACGCUUUAAAUGGUUCUUGUGUAAGCAUUUCACUCAAUUUCCGCCUGUCGUAAACACUUGUGGCGUGCUUAUAUCUAAUCUUUGCGAGCUAAAAAUAACGAUAAAUUUCGAACGAUUCGCGUGCCUCAUAUGUCAAGGGUCAUCGUAAAUCACUAGGGCUAUUUUCCUGCUAGAAUUUUCUAUUACAUGGGCGAGGAAAGAUGAAAUUUCUACAAUUUUUUAGUGCAUUUUCUUUACGCAUCGUAAUGAACGUUAAUACUUCAGUGUGCAGAUCGUAAAAGACUAGUUUAAAAAAUCUUAAAUCACAGUUGUUGUAAAAAAUACCAACAUAAAAUGAACUUAACUAUAUUUUGAACAGCAAAAAAACAAGUUACAAUAAAAGUGUAGUAACAUAAUUUUGCAUUCAUGAUGGAGAACACUUCUAAGUUAGGUCUUGCACUCGGAACAAGGUUUAGACUAAAUAAAAAUGAACUAAUAUGAAAGCUAUGAUAAACAAAAGAACUAUUUAUCAAUUAACGGAUAGCAAAGCUGUGAUUUUCAUAUUUGCUUUAACGCAUCAUUACAUUCAAAGCAAAGAGAGAGAAACCGUGUCGCUACGACAUGUAAAUAAACCUUGAACAUUUAACGUGCAAAUGGUUCUUCCAAUCAGUUAUCGUGGGCGUAAAAGAAAGCGUGGUAUGAUAAUGACGGCAAAAGUUUAAAACAAGAUCUAUAGCAACCAUAUAAACUGCAAACGGACAAAAUCGUUAAGUUUACAUAGCGUUAAAUGUAUUACUGAGAAAAACCUUCCUCUAAUUUAGGUUGUUGGAAGAAUCGCUUGAUGGAUACAAAAUUAUUUCAUGGAAGUUCUAUCUUAAACAAAUUAUUAAUUAAACAAAACAAAACGAUUUACUCAUUCUUAUAACUGUACGAUUGUAAUUAGUAGGUGAAAAACAAUUAUGCUCCUUCAGUAAGUACGGAGGCAAGUACCUUAAUGCAGGUGGAGAAUAUAAAUCAUCCUGCAUCCAAAAAUGUCUCUUCCAAUUACCAAAAUAUCAAUAUUUUCAGCUUGAAAUAAACCCAGCUGUUUUUUUACGAACUAAGCAGUUGUUUUGAUUGUCAUAAAGCAGUGCAAAAAUUACGCUAAUUUAUAAGGUGUGUAUAGAAAGCUAAAAAUACAGGAUAAGCCAAAGAUAAUUAAAAUAUCGAGAAUAACAACUUAAGAAUAAAUAACUUACGACAGGCGAGGAAACACGACAUCCAGGACAGUCACAAAUCGGUGGAUGAACUUUUAAAAAUCCUUGAGCAAUUAAACUUUUUAACGACUUC